CGUGCUGCCGCCAUCUUGGCCUCUGUGCUGUGACUCCGCGGCGGAGCAGGGAGGGGUUGGGGGCGUGGGGCUGGCCGUGCAGGUGCUUAGCGUUUGAGUUCCUGAGCCCUUCAGAGCCCCUGCUCCCUAAGCUUUAUCUUGUGGGCAAGGUUAACUUUUUUUGUUUAUUUUCAUACCGUGGGAACGCCCAGCCAUUUCUCCCGGAGAAGUAGCAGGGAGAAAGGGGAGACACCUGGAGGAAUGCCGGGCCCUCCUCCAUACCUUUCCCUGAUUUUACGGAUGACAAUGCUUGAGCCCCAAACGGAGCGACUUGUUCCGGUAGAUCCCGAGAAGCCAGUCUUUAACAACGUCUAAAUUCUUGCUUGAAGAGAAGAACCUAUGCUACCCAUCUCCGCUAACACAGCCAGCCCAAACACAGAAGGAAUUCUCUAUCAUCUUCAUUAUCAUCAUCAACAACACGUAUUCAGUAGUAGGUGCCAAGCAAAAGUAAUACAUCGCUACUGUACUGAGUAAGGUAAGACAGAAUGAGCUUUCACAGAGGGGAGACAGCGCUAGAGGAAGCUUAACUGGCAGUGCUGUGCACGUAGGGUGAGCUGGAGGGAAGACACGAGAGGCACAGAGACAAAAUAGGAAAGUACAGCAGGGCAGGCUUCAGCUGGCAACAGCAGGGCCAGAGAUUCGGCCACGGGAGUGGGAAUGGGAGGAGGGCAGAAAUGGAGGCAGCAGUUGAGAUUUAGUUUGCUGGGAGGUGGGGAGGGAGGAGAGUUAAUGAUUGUGGGCUCUUCCUUCAAGGCCUGCACUGCCCGGAUGGUGGGGCGACGGCGUUCCUCAACAAGAAGCACUGGAGACAAGUUUUGGUGAACAUGUCCGUUUAUUGACAGCCAAGCACACCUUUUACACAGCAGGCAGAGGGGGCGAAGCUAACUCAGGGCAACACUAAUUCUAUAGGAUAAAGCUGAUAUCGGCGCCACAAUGCUUCUCCAAUCAGCUUGAGGGUCACGUAGCCUGUGUGGCCUCCCAGGUGGUCCCUAUGGGCCUGGGCCACACUCGGAAGCUGUUUACCUGGUUGGCAGUUACAAGGCCCUUCAAGGAAGCGGGGUGAGGGACAUGCGCCUGGGGCUCCCGCUGCCUGCCAGCAGUCAGGUCAUAGGGUCCUUCCCAGGAGGCAUGGUGUGCCCGCCCCUCAGCCUCCUGCAUGGGCAGGGCAGGCAGUCUCCCAGCCAGACACAGCAUCACCCACAAAUGAGAACUUCAAGGUUGGAGUCCCUGGUGAUUAGAUGCUGGUACCACUGACCAAAGUAAGAAAAUAAUGAAGGGUCUUAGCUUAGCUUCUAUGUGUAGAGUUGGGGUGAUGGUGGGACCUCCAGCUAGGACUGCAAGCAGUAGGAGAUGAGGCGAGGCCCCAGUGUCUGAGAGACUGACCAGGGCCCAAGGCUGACCAUUAAAAAUAUCAAAAUAGUUUAUGCACAUAUUGGUAAGCAGCACUGCCCCAACCCUCCUCCCUCAAGAGCCCCUCAGAAUCUUCCUGGUCUCAUGGGAUUCAACGAUUGUUUUAGGAUCCCUUGGAUAAUUCCUGGCACAGAAAAGGACUACAGGCUGAAUAUCUGUGUCCAAAAUACUUGAGACCAGAAGUUUUGGAUUGCAGCAUUUUUUGCAUUUUGGAUAUGUAAUGAGCUAUCUUGGGGAUGGGACCUAAGCCUAAAUAGAGAAUACAUUUAUAUUUUAUAUAUACCUUAUACACACAUAGCCCAGAGGUAAUUUUAUACAAGAUUUUACUGUACCUGCAUUUUAAAAAAUCCUUAUUUAAUUUAUUUGUGAAAAAGAAAGACACAGAGAGACAGACAGGGGGAGAAGUUCCAUCUGCUGGUUCACUCCCCAGAUGUCUGCAAAAGCUAGAGAUGGGCCAGGCCAAAACUGGGAGCCGGGAACUCAGUCCAAACCUCCCAUGUGGGUGGCAGGAACCCAAUUACUUGAGCUACCACUUCCAAGGUGGGUACUAGCAGGAAGCUGGAAUUGGGAGCAGAACCAGGACUCAAGCCGGUGCCGCAGCUCACUAGGCUAAUCUUCCGCCUUGCGGUGCCGGCACCCUGGGUUCUAGUCCCGGUCGGGGCGCCGGAUUCUGUCCCGGUUGCCCCUCUUCCAGGCCAGCUCUCUGCUGUGGCCAGGGAGUGCAGUGGAGGAUGGCCCAAGAACUUGGGCCCUGCACCCCAUGGGAGACCAGGAGAAGCACCUGGCUCCUGCCUUCGGAUCAGCGCGGUGCACCGGCUGCGGCGGCCAUUGGAGGGUGAACCAAUGGCAAAAGGAAGACCUUUCUCUCUGUCUCUCUCACUGUCCACUCUGCCUGUCAAAAAAAAAAAAAAAAGAA